AGUUUAUGCAGAAUGGCGUGAAAAACAAACAAAGCAAAAAAAAAAAACUGGCCAGUGAGCGUCAGUUCUGCAGGCGGAGACGCCGUGUCGAUGAGAGAGGUCAGAGGAGAAUGAACAGACAGGUUCGAGCUGACAUGAAGGACAUCGUAACCACUCUUUACAAACGUGGUGAGCUGAAAAGCAUCUCAGAAUGCGUUGCGGACCUGGAUGGAGGGAUGGGAUGAAGUGGAUGGAGGGAUGGGAUGAAUGGAUGGAUGGGCUACGACUCCACAAGACUGCACUCCUGUCAGAAAAGAACAGGAAUCGGACAGCACGGUGGGGACAGGAUCACUUGUCCCUCGUAAGCCUUCGAGUUGGUGAACUAUAUCUGUGACUGUAAUUUCUAAGGCUUACACAUGUAGAUCUGAAAAGAGCCCGAGACCCGACCAUCAUCAGAUCGCUGUCAUUAACACACGGCUGCAGGACUGAUUCACUUUACAAAUAGUUAAUCAACCCCGUCAAACCUCCAGGUCCCUUCUGAUGCAGAUUGGACCUCAUUUCUUCCUUCCUUCAUUUAUUUAUUUAUUCAUUUAUUUAUUUACCUUAUGAUAGAAACAGGGCAGCUCAGGAAGCCGAACAAAGCACCGCACACAGUUAAGAAGAAGAAGAAGAAAAAAAGCUUCACAAAAUCAAGAGUCCUUGGUGGGUUCUUCUUCUCUCGGUUUGUUUUAACGCUGUGGUUUUCAUGCUCGAGUCACACUGCAGUUUCACGUCAUGGCCACACGUGCGCCGAAAUCAGCGUCAAACUUCAAACCCACGUCUCUACUCUAGUCAGAUUUCCGGUACCUGGACCUCUUAAAGACGUCCUUUAACACCCGUACUUUACUUUAGCCUAACCCGUACAAUACUGUAUUACUAAUAAAGCGGGGAAACCGGAUAAAACCGGAUCGCCACGCGCGAGCUCGUUAAAACCCGUAUCGUGGUAACGGAACAGGGCCUCGCUUUGUUGCUCAGCGUUUAUAAAACACGGCUCAUUUAGACGUUUUAUUUGGUCGUAACGGCCGGCACUAAUGAGAGCCAAAGUGAUUUAGGACCUAACAAAAUCCGGUGACCUUUAAAUAUUACACCUCUUAAAUCGUUUCCAGGCCGACGCGCCACCCAGCAGUGCGUCGCGGUUUAAUACAGGAGCCAGGCGGAAACUGGACCGAGAUCUCCUACACAGUUUUGGAGGCUAGUGCGGUAUAUCAUGGUAUAACUGCUACGACUUGGUGCUGGAGGACGGGGUUCAUCCCUCAUAAACGCAAAUGACGUGCACUUGUGUAGAAGUCUGUCAGCAUGAACAGGUAAACUGGGAUUAAUCCCAUCAGGACUUCAAGAAUUCUUUUCCCGUAAACGAGUUUUAAAGGCUCGAUAGUCGAUGGUUUUUUCUUUUUAAAUAACAAAGACCUAUUUAAAAUAAGUUUUAGAUAGAGGACGUAAUCUCUACGCUGAGAAAGUUCAUACAGAAGAGCCUAGCGUGAAGAUUUUGACUCGAGGGUCGCACCUACGCAAGCGGAGCCUCAUGCGGAAAACGUCUAAGAACCACCGAGCUAGAACGUACGUCGAACGUGAUUUAAAAUGAUUGUUUAAGCCGUGACCUCAGCACGAGUGUAUAAUGCGGCUGAGUAAACAAACCUGCAUGGGAAACUGGCUCCGGGCCUGGAGUGCUCGUUUGUGUUUACGUGAGACGGUCUGUACAGGAGGGGGUUGUUUUUGGGGGAUCGUUGCUGACAAAAAUGUGAGAUGUUGCGCACCCCCCCCACCGAAGUUAUUGCGCCACAAAAAAACUACUCGACUUGCGUGAAAUCUGCGGCGAAGUUUGUUGGAAAAUGAGACCUUUUAGCCGUGCUCGUGAAUCGAAGAGGGCGUUGGCCGAAUGGCGUCACGUGACGUCCCUAACCUGCGGAAAAUUUAGAGGGGGGGGAUGUUCGGCUUUCACGUUCGUUCCUGCGGCUGAUUUUACAGAUGCUCGCCCAAUGCUUCCUCGCUCUGCUUCCAUUUUGUUGGCAUGCGCCUGGGCAGAUAAUAAUGAAUAAAUAAACCCUACAAAAUAAUAAAAAUCUUACAGUGUUGAAAUCUACGAGGCAGGUUUUGACAACCUGGUUCAGAACUCUCCUAAAUGGUUUUAAUGGUUUAGAGCUCUCCUAAAUGGUUC
ensembl:lncRNA